UACGAAGGGGGCUAGCGUUGCUCGGAAUCACUGGGCGUAAAGCGCACGUAGGCGGAUUGUUAAGUCAGGGGUGAAAUCCUGGAGCUCAACUCCAGAACUGCCUUUGAUACUGGCGAUCUCGAGUCCGGGAGAGGUGAGUGGAACUGCGAGUGUAGAGGUGAAAUUCGUAGAUAUUCGCAAGAACACCAGUGGCGAAGGCGGCUCACUGGCCCGGUACUGACGCUGAGGUGCGAAAGCGUGGGGAGCGAACAGG
rnacentral:rRNA from 1 species